AUCUGAGUGGGAGAAAUAAAAUGAAUAUGCGUGUCAAGUCCGCCUGCGGUAAGGAUAAGCCCCUCGCCUGCAAUCGCCUCGGUGGAAGCGCCGAUUAUCAUGUUUUCGCUGACGCCGUUCAUAAUGUCCGGAUUUCCCGCCUUUCCUAUACCGGCGAUCUUUCCGUCUUUUAUUCCUACAUCAGCCUUGAUUAUUCCGGUGCUGUCAAUAAUAAGAGCGUUCGUUAUAACUGUGUCAAGACAUUCUUUGUCGAUUGCCCUGCAUGAUUGUCCCAUUCCGUCCCG
rnacentral:sRNA from 1 species